rnacentral:rRNA from 1 species
GAUCAUGGCUCAGGAUGAACGCUAGCUACAGGCUUAACACAUGCAAGUCGAGGGGCAGCGGGGUUGAAGCUUGCUUCAAUUGCCGGCGACCGGCGCACGGGUGAGUAACGCGUAUCCAACCUUCCGUACACUCAGGGAUAGCCUUUCGAAAGAAAGAUUAAUACCUGAUGGUAUGAUGAGAUUGCAUGAUAGCAUCAUUAAAGAUUCAUCGGUGUACGAUGGGG